rnacentral:lncRNA from 1 species
UGCAGCCUGACCUCCUUAAUCAGGAGCAAUACUGCGCAGGUCUGGGAGGAAAACAUCCGACUCCUUAAGACGAAAGUGAUGCAAAUGCGUGGCAUCUGUGGGAACGUGGACCAGCGAGAGGCCUUCGUCCGGAUGCGGGGGCACCAUGUUUCCUUCCUGGAAGCCCACGUGCUUCAGGCCGGGUGGGACCACAGGGCCUUCUUGCAGGCCCUGCGGAGGUGGCCGGGCCCCCCGGGGCUCCUUCUUUCUGGACAAACCGUCUAUGCCAUCUCCCCAGACGAACGGGCCGCCCGUGUUGUACGUGCUCCCGUGGGAGGCCGGGCUCCCGACCCCGGCGGCCGUUGGCCUGGGCAGGCUUUGCUCUCCUCCCGUCAGGGACGUCGGAAACUGAAGCUCUGUGGAGCAGCUUGUUUUCUUUUCCUUUUUAUUGUUGUCUGAAUUUCCUCCCUUGCCUCACAUGACGCCGCUGGGUUUGGAGAAGCAGUUGGUACCCACGUGUGGUAAAGCUUCAGUGAUGAGCUGGAGAAGGCGUUUUCCGCCAGCGAUUGGCCCUCCUGGUGUUAAAGGAUGAGGCGGUGGGGACCGAGGAGCCGAGGCUGACGGGGUGACGACUGGAUCCCGGUUCUUUCUGAGGGGCUUCGCGUGGGACCCGGGAGAGCUCGCUUGGUGCCCCCGGCUGCAUAGCCCCAGGUCCAUCAGUGUUGGCUGGUUUGUCUGCGAACCCCGGUGCCCAGCGGCCCUGUGAACCAUCCCAUUAAGGUGUCAAGAGGUAAACGAAAACAACUAAUUACAAGAGGUGACACAGGAAAGGACAUCUUAAUAUUAAGCAAGCAUUGCAGGAGCUUCAGAUGGAAGCUGAAGAAGAUUUUGUGACAUUCUCAGAUUUCAUGCAGUGAUGCUCCCAUGGACUCAAGGUUAACAGACAUCAGAAUCCUGAAAGCUGCCUUCGUGGUAUAAUUCUUGACUGGUCUGGGGAAGUCUGCGUCUUAGCAACCAUGAAGACUAAGAGAGCCGCCAUGCAGAAGGAAAAAGAACAGACUGGGGAAAAUGGAUAUCAGGUGGCAACUAGAAGUAUCUGCCUCAUUUGUUGAGGAUUGAUGGAAGAUAUAUGAAGAAUGGAAAACUAAAGUCCUGCAAACAGAUGAAAGGUCAAGUGGAUGCAAAUUCUCUCUAGAAAAAGGAAUUAAUUUACUAAGGAAGACCGGAACGGAGGGAGAAGGACAUCACGGCUAGCUUGCCCUGUGUCCUGGAGGAUGACCGAUGGCACCGAGGACAGAAGCUCUUUGGAUUGGAAAGAGCGCAAGGUGGGCCCAAGGCAAGAGGAAUCUGGACACCUUCUAGGUCCAGUGCCGCUGUUGGUAGAAUUCUAGCAGGAUUUCAUGAUGAGUAGAACUAAAGAAACAAGGAUACAUGAUUCUGUAAGUUAUUGUUUACACGUAACUUCAAUGGUAUCAGUGAGAGAAGCCACAGGGCAGCAGGAGCCAGGCCAUCCCUCAAGAGCACAGGCUCACACUUUUCUACGUAGGGAAUAGACAUCUUUGGGACAUGUCUUCUCUGUCUGACACAGCUCCUCCCAAGAUCUUCACUAUUUGUAGCCCCACCACCAAGUUCAUUAGAUAGUGCAUUAGUCAGUGGGGAGAGAGAGAGAUUAUUUUAAGGGAGUGGCCCCCACGAUUGUGGCGCCUGGCAAGUCUAAAAUCUGCAGGGCAGGCCAGCAGGUUGAAAAUUCUGCCAAGAAUUGAUGCUCCUUGAGUGCUUCUAGAAUAAGAGUUCUUACAUGUGUAAAGAGAAAGUUUAGAAAGCCAGCAACAACCCAUCAGGGAGUUGUAAAUUUAUUAUCUCACUGCUGG